rnacentral:rRNA from 1 species
GUAGGGAAUCUUCCACAAUGGACGAAAGUCUGAUGGAGCAACGCCGCGUGAGUGAAGAAGGUCUUCGGAUCGUAAAACUCUGUUGUUAGAGAAGAACGUGCAUGAUAGUAACUGAUCAUGUAAUGACGGUAUCUAACCAGAAAGCCACGGCUAACUACGUGCCAGCAGCCGCGGUAAUACGUAGGUGGCAAGCGUUGUCCGGAUUUAUUGGGCGUCAAGGGAACGCAGGCGGUUUUUUAAGUCUGAUGUGAAAGCCUUCGGCUUAACCGAAGAAUAGCAUUGGAAACUGGAAGACUUGAGUGCAGAAGAGGAGAGUGGAAUUCCAUGUGUAGCGGUGAAAUGCGUAGAUAUAUGGAGGAACACCAGUGGCGAAAGCGGCUCUCUGGUCUGUAACUGACGCUGAGGUUCGAAAGCGUGGGUAGCAAACAGGAUUAGAUACCCGGGUAGUCC